CGCGUGGGUAACCUGCCUCAUACAGGGGGAUAACAGUUAGAAAUGACUGCUAAUACCGCAUAAGCGCACAGCAUUGCAUGAUGCCGUGUGAAAAACUCUGGUGGUAUGAGAUGGACCCGCGUCUGAUUAGCUAGUUGGUGAGGUAACGGCCCACCAAGGCGACGAUCAGUAGCCGACCUGAGAGGGUGACCGGCCACAUUGGGACUGAGACACGGCCCAA
rnacentral:rRNA from 1 species